GGGAGAGGGGACGCGUCCCCACCGCCGCCCGCUCGCACACGCACGGCACUCCGCCGCCGCAGCGCUCUUGGAGCGGCACCGCGGCUUGCUCGGGGCUCCUCGGCUCGCGCUUCUCUCCUCAGAAAUUCAGGCAGAGCCGCGGCGGAGAGCGGGAAAGGUCCCCCUUCUGAGCCCUCUGUGAGAGCUCUGCUGACGGAGGCUCCCACCGCCCCGGCAGAAGGAGCCCCGCUCUGCGGAGCAGAGGAAGCAUCUGUAAUCCACAGCUGCGGGUGCUCCAGCCCCGAGUCCUGAUAAAAUCUACACCUAUGCUUCUGCAUGAAUGAAAACAGGCUGCUGGACCUGACCGAAAUGCAGCUCGUGUUGGUGAAGUUUUGUGGGUGCCAUCGCCCUCCUUCCUGUUGUGCACCCCAGCGCCUGCUCUGCUCACAUCUCCAUCACGUUCACUCCUCGCACACCAUUUGCCCCAGUCAAGGGACACCCCAGUCAAGUGGCAUCCCCAGCUGCCCCACAACAUGGAGGCAGAGACCCCCCAGCUGCUCGCUGGAGGUUCAGCCUCUUGGCCAAAGAGUGAAGCACUUUCUCUGCCAAGUUCCCUUCUCUCAGGGUGCACAUGCACCCAAAGCAGCACUGUACUGACCUCCCUCCCCAUGCUCACCUCACUGUGCCACUCACCCUGCAGAGUGAAGCCAGCAGUACAUACUGUUCAUACAACGUUUUCAGACCACUUCAGCUCCCCUUCUCAAUCUCUGUGGAAGAGCCGUGCAACAGUUUAAGUUGGGACUUGGCAAAGCAAUGUUGCAGCUGCAGAGGAUGCACGAUGCUUAGCAGAGGUGACCUGUGACGUGGGCUCUGCUAGGUUUCACACCUGGAGCAGCACAGGUAGCAACCCGAGGCUUGCAGACGCCACUGGCAUCUGAUGCUUGUGGGUUUGUUUCAAAAAUCAUACUCUGAAUUCCGAUAGAGCUCUGCCUUCCUUCCCUGCUGCUGUAAGUGGAUGCUCCAACACAGAAGGCUGCCAGGCAGGAGUUGUGAAAAUAUGGCUGUACGAUCUUUAAUUCUUUGUUUUUGCAAAGACUGGUUUAGAACAGUGGUAAAGGGACACAACUGUCUUAAAUUAAUCAUUUUCCUAAGUUGAAAAAUACCCUUCUUUUCCCAUAAUUAUUUUCAGUUCAAGAAUUCAAAAAUUCAGCUGCAGUGAAGUUUAAUCCAUCUCUAUAAACGCACAAGAAUGGAAAAACACGCAGCUUUUCAGAGGCUUCCAGCAAUACCCAGAAAUAUGUGUAUAAAUUUCCAAACAGCAAAUUUAAAAAGCCUGCAGAGAAAAGAAGUAAAAAAUCCUGAAUUAAAACUCUCUGUUUGUUAUUGGUGCAUGAGUUAUGCCGUAUCAGAUGUCACCCACUUUCGCUUGCCCCAGAACAACAGCUUGGACAAGUGGGAAAUAUUGGGUACUCAGUGAAAAUGGGGUGUGAUGCAGCUCCACAGCAGUCUCAGGAUGGGAGUCUCUUUACAAUGAACAAAAUGAUUUCUGUCUUUGUAUUUUUCAAAUGUUCCAACACCACAAAGUCGUGCCACAGUAGAUUAAACAGAAAAAUAACAGUUUCUGAAAUACAAUCUCCAAAAAAAUAAUUGCAGGAGAAAUAUUCAUUCCUAGUCCAAUAAAUCCCUAAUUUUAAAUGUCAGCUGCAAAGCAUAAAUCCUUUUAAUAGAUUUCAAACUGCGGUGACAAAGUUGUAAUUGUAGGGUCCAGCCCACUCGAAAGAACUGAAUGCCGUUGCUCUGUAUUAGCCACCCUUCUGGUUUAAUUUCUGUUUUUUUUUUCCAGGGGUUUUGUUUUGCUUUGCCUUGUUUUGGGUUUGUUCUUUUCUUUUUUUUUUUUUUUUUUUUUUUUGGUCCUUGUUUGUUUGUUUGUUUUUGCUGCGGCAUUUUAAUCUCCUCUCUUUUAGGAAUUUUCUGUUACAUUCCUGAGCCUGGUUCUGGAAUACUUUCAUCUCAGAUUGAGCAGAAUCUUGUUUCUGUUCCUCAGUAGAUGUCUGAAGUGCAAAAUCUACUUGAUCAUAACUUUCUGUGGGGUUUACUGCAGGGUAGUCUGCACGUAAAGACCCUGAAGUCAUGUGAAAUAGGAGCCUUGACCUCAAGACACAAUAAAGUUGGCUGGUUUGGUUGUGGCUCAAAAGGUCACUUUUUUUCGGGGGCUGCCUCUGAGUGCUGUUUUAAACUAAUUAUUACCUUUGAUUUUAACUUAACGUUUGUUUAAAAAGAAAGAAAAAAAAGAGAGAGAGGAAAGAAGAAAAGAAAAAGAAGAAAGAAUGAAAAGGAAAUGAAAGGAAAAGGAAAAAACCCUCAGUUACUACUACUUAAACAGUUUGACUGGCAUGUAUAUCACAUUAUGGACAUAUGAAAAGACAAGAUUUCUGCCUGAGGAGCUUAUAGUGUAAAACAGACAGAAAGUACCGUGAAUAAUAAAAGCAGACAGAGCAGAGAUUUGUGUGUGUACGUGGGAAGAGUGGGGAGGUGCGUAGAAACAUAUUCAGAGCUCAGAAAUAUUCUACCAAUUGACACUGAUUAUGAUACUUUUCUUUCUUGUUCUGUUUCCAUGUACGUACGGUAAUAGCUUUGUUCUUCUCUAUUUACCUGUUUUUUCAGUGAGAUAUUCUAUCACAGGAGAUCACCUGCUUUCUUUUUCUGUUCUAGGUUCUAGGACAAUGGGUAACACACAUACAUCUUUAUUUUUCUACUCGGCCAUAACAUAUGACACCGAAAUCCCCCCCUCAAAAUGUUAUAUCUGCUUCCCUUGGCAGGGUUUCCCUAGUAAUCCACAGUGACUCACCACUGCAAAGUACAAUUCUCACUUAACAGAAAAUAAAAAUGAGCUUGAAAUUUUGGACUUCUGACUCUACCAUCCCCUAACAAAUGCCAUCUUUAGGUUUGUUGUUGUUGUUUUGCUUUGUUUCUUAUAUAUAUAAAAUGUUCAGAAACAGGCAAACAAACAAGAUAUUUGGAGUCAACCUCUUUUUCCUUAUGCUCAGCUGCAUUAGGCGAUUGAAAAUGGAAAAAGAAGAAAAAGAGAGCUAAACAGCUCUUUAACAAAGGAUGAACGCUACAUGGGCUUCAUUCUUUUUAGGUGUUGAAAGUGAGAUGCUGUCAGAAAUAGGAGUAUCAGAAAAGGUGACGGAACAAGCCGAGAAAUUACACUGCAGUCAAUCAGCCGGGCCAGAUGGUAUUCAUCCGAGAGUUCUGACGGAACCAAGGACCGGCGCAAGUGAGCUGCUAACAAAAAUAUGUAAUUUAUCAUUAAAAACAGCUACUGUACCAGAGGACUGGAGAAUGGCCAAGGUUGUACCCAUCUCUUAAAAAGGUGCUAAUGAUGAUCCUGGGAAUUAUAAACCAGUAACUCUUACUUCAGUACUAGGAAACUAUUCAGAGAAUCGCUGCACAUAAUGUGCCGAGGCACACAGAUAGCAAGGGAAAGCUGCAGUGCUCCUACUGAAAUCCUCUCAGCUCUCUUGGAACUACACGAAAGAGUUAAUGAACUAGUCAAUAAAGUAGAACCAGAAGACGCAAUUUAUUUAGUGUUUCCAAAAGCUUAUAGUAAAGUCUCUCAGAAGAAAAACCACAGCAGCUCCAGAAUUAAAAUCCAGUUGUGCUGAAAAACUGGCUAGAGGAUGGAAAACUAUAUAUAUUUAUCAGACUGCUUUGAAUCGUGCCUCUUGAAAGCAUUUUAUAAACGCUAGCAGAUGCCCACCUCUUCCAAAUGAGCUGGUUGUACCAGAGGUUAAAGAGCUUACCUGGAAUCGAAGGGACAGCUGUGGCAGAGCCAGGGCUUCGGCUCCGGAGCAGCAGGUUCCAGAGUUGUGCUCGGCUCCCCAAGCUGCGAAAGGAUCAGCAGUCAUGCAAGCAGAGAGGUUAACUCCGAAUUGCCCCUGGGAUCAAUAGUAGCCAUAAGGAUGGGUUUGUCCAACGUGUUCAUUAACCACCUUAAACAUCUUCCAGAAUGAGGAUGGUAACAUUUGUUUUCACUGCUACAGCCACAGCUUGCUUGCUGCUGUUCAGACCUGGCACCCAUUGAUCUAAAUGGGAAAAUUCAUGACAGCACUUGGCCAUUUAUUGAGUUAACUGAAUUUCGGCAAAACCUAAAGAAAUUCCAGAGUAAGCUAGAGAACUGAGAUAGAAUGGCAAUAUGAUGGCAGUCAAAAUUAAACAGACUAUUGCCGAGGAGUUUGUGCCGGAAAAUAUUGUCAAGAACUGAUGGCAAUUAAUUAGCCCGGGAAAAUCUAAGCAUCAUUCACUGAAAAAAAGCUACCCAGCGUACUGCAGUAGCUUAGAAAGCAUACAAAAGCAGAUGAGACACUCAGAUACAUUAAAAACCAAAAAGAUGGUUGAACAUAAAAUAUUACUGCGUGAUUUCAUGAGUAAAAGUUGCAUUUCUGGACAUCCUGUCGUAUUUUUGUCACUGUGUUAUAGCGAAGUGAGGAAACACAGAGAAAUGCAGUAAACAUGAUUAAUGAAACAGGAGAUGGGACCAAGUUAGGAGGUAGACUUAGAAGAAAUCAUUUAAUUUAGAAGCAUGAAGAGGAUGAGGAGUUUUAGGACCACAUAAAAUUUCAGUUGAUGCAGAAAAGCUCAGAUGUUCCUGUCUGUUCUGUUUCAUUUCAGAAAAAAAAUAAGCAGGAAACAUAUUUAAAUGAAUAUAUGAAGGUGUUUUUUGUUGUGUUUUGGUUUUUUUUUUCUCGUUAGAAUAUAUAGCUGAGUCGUGGAAUUUAUUUUUGCAACAGAAGAUCGAGAAAAACAGCUCUGGGGGCGAUUGCUAUGCUUUAGUAGGAAAAAAAAAGGAGGAAAAAAAGAGAUUAGAAACGGGAAACAAAAGCUAAGAGAGGAGGAAGAGUAACUCUGCCAUGUCUCCCCAUCCCCACAGACCCUCUGGCUGUCCCUUCACACAGUGGCUUGUGGAGGAAGAUCCAAGAAACCCAUGACCCAAGCCAUCCUAUGCAACAUGUUUUCCCCUCUAAAACCAUUCCUUUUUCUGACAGAAAUCCAUACAAGUUCUGCUGUGGGUCUCUCCUGCAGAGAGACUCUCUCUCUUGUCUCUCUCUCUGGGGCAGGACGGGGGCAGAGAGGGAAGAGCACAGCCAGUCCAGAGCCUGGUCCUGUGCCAGAGCUGGGCCUGUGCUGCCCGACAUCCCUUCUAUCCCCAGGCACCGAUGCAAUCCCCUGAGAGGGGAAAAAGCAGUGGGAACUCCAUGUGCCUCUCCUGGUGGAAUUUCUCAGCACUUUUUCUUUCCUCGGGAUUUUUCCCAAGAGAAAGGAGUAUUUAGCCUUCACUUAGCUUUACUGAAGUAUUAGACAUUUAUUUGAUUAAGUACAGCAUCUGCAGCCGCACCAGCUAGAAUAAAAAUUACAAGGGCUAUCAAUCCUCAUACUUCAAGGCACGAGCUGAUGGCCAGCUGGGGUCGGGAAGAAAUUCCCCAGUGCUGCCAUGAGGUACAGGGUGCUGCCUCCCGCACCGGGCGCAGUGCGAGGUUGGGGGCGCGGGGCCGGACGGGCCUUGGCCUCAGUGCAGGGAUUCCUUUGUUCCCGGGCUGGGUUUCUGUGCUGCACGAGUUUGUCAUCGUGUCUAAAUCAAGCGUUAAUUAUAAUUCUGAAAAUGCGGGAAUAUUCAUGAAUUCUUAUGUUGGCAAUAACCGUGCGUAAUACAAUACGGACAAAAACAACGUCUGCUGCGCAGCAAAAAGGAAGUUGACGGCUUUGAGCACAAGGCACUUUCUGUUUCCAGUUACCCUCCAGAACUCCUUGCACCCGAGAGUCAACGCCUUGGAGAAUAAUAACGUAAUUGCGAUUUUGUUUUAUGGUAUUCUGACAACAAAUUUGAUUCAGUAGUGUCUGCGCAGUUCAAACAAAACAAAGCACUCCAAGAGUUCGACUGCGCGAUGCUGAUAUUUUUUAUGAGCUCGAAUGUAAUCCAAAGAACGGCGUGAUGGUCUUGAUGAACAUACUUUAAAUAAAAUUUCCUUCUCUGGUUCUCUGGUUCCAUCAGCAUUUUGAUAGAACUCUGAGAGAAAAAAAAACAAAAAACCCCGAUAGCUGCUUUAUUCCUGUCAGGUUCUUUUUGUAAAGCAACUCGCGGAGAUGAUUGCAAGAGUACAUUAAAGGCAUGCAUUUUCGAAGUUAGUCAGUUGUCAAAGUGAUUUUGAGGGUUGACAAUCACAUUUAAGACAAAUAUAGAAAUCUGAAAGAAAUGCUUACAAGCAAUUUCAUAUUCUGGGCAAUGAUUUAGUUUGGAAAUGCAUCCAGUUCAAGGGUUAAAUGAAAGCAAAAGCAAUCACUUCAACCAUGUUUUUGAAGAAAAUAAAACAGCUUGAUGUAAGCUAAAUGAAGGGGGUCUGUGACUUAAAAGGAAUGGACAGAUAGAGAAAAAGGUCAGAAGAUUAAAUUUUCCCUAAGGGAAAAGUCAUUCUUUGGAAUCAUUAACCUCCUUCUAGGUCACUACUGAAAAAAACAGCAGGAAAUCCUACUGCUCCUAGAAAGAUGGGUGCAUCGUAUACCGCCCACUGACCUACCGGCACUGUGGCAAACAGAAUUCUGCUUACACAUUCUCCUCCAGGCGUGCUUGGUUUUAGUACGCCCAUUUUAAAGCAAUAUGAUCUUUUAGCUGAACUCUGAAGUGUAUCCAUAAAGGCAAUAUUCUAGGGGCUCUGGACGUUAAAAAAGAAGAAUCGCUUGUUUAAAUGUCUUUUUAACGGGGAGAAAUCUGGAAGAGGGGUUUACGAAUUAAAAAGUUGGUCAGCAAUAUGUAUCCAUUGUCCAUUUCUCUUUAGGACUAAAAUUAAUCAUCAUCAUAGUUUCAAUGCGUUUUAGUGACUUUUUGAAACCUAAAACACACUGUCAGCGUGCCAGAAGCAGCAGUAUGCCUCAAAGUAUCUCCUUGUCUCAAAGAACCUACAUGAGAGUGUUUCCCUGUUUCUAUUGUAAGCCAAAUCUGCUCCCUCCUAGAGGAGCCUGAGAGUAAACAUUACUCCAAGUAGGAGGAUUGGUAUACAAACACGUACACAUACACGCAUAUGUAUGUAAAUGGUAAGUACUAUUAAAGCAUUUCAAAGACAUUCUGUAGCAUUUAUCAGAUCGUAUUCAGAUGAACAGUCUUACCAGUCUUGCUGGAAACAAGUAUUUUAUCACAGCCAAGCCUCAAAAUAAGUGAGGGAAACUACCUGCAGUCAUUUUGUACCACACGAUACCAUGCAGAAGCAUUCAUAUUUACAUUGAAUGCGACCUCUUUUUCUUCCCUACUUGCCCCAGAAAUAAAACUCCUGAUCAAAAUAAAUGUGGAUUCGUAUUUGCUUUUGACAGAAGCCCCAGUCCAGCCAAGACUGGCAGCAAUUGGACGCCUGUGGCUGUGCAAUGCCCCUCGCCUACAUGGAGACUCCGGGCAAAGUCUGCACCCUCCUGCACAAUCAAUGUCUUCACAUUAAAG
ensembl:lncRNA